rnacentral:lncRNA from 1 species
CUUGACUAAUUUUGCAGAUUGAAGGAGUUAUUGUCAGAUCGCAAGGAUUACUCCAUCCCUAUCUCGCCCAAGUCGAUCCAUUCUACUCCAAACUUCGAGCCCUGAAGCAAUAUUUAUAUUUUAUUUAUGUUAUAUAUAAUCUCAGAGUGCUCGAGGUUGUCACAAUGCAAGCAAUUAAUAAAUUUUAAGCUCCUGUUGAGCUUGAUAUUUCCCUUGACUUAAGAUGUUUAGCUUGAUAAGUGGUUUGAUAAAGACUUGACUCAGCAAGGGAACGAACUGAGCUUGUGCUUAACAACUAAGCUUGAUUGUUAGGCAAUUUCAUUGAGAUGGCCCC